CCUACGGGCGGCAGCAGUGGGGAAUAUUGGACAAUGGGGGCAACCCUGAUCCAGCCAUGCCGCGUGUGUGAAGAAGGCCCUCGGGUUGUAAAGCACUUUCAGUGAGGAAGAACGCCUGGUGGUUAAUACCCAUCAGGAAAGACAUCACUCACAGAAGAAGCACCGGCUAACUCCGUGCCAGCAGCCGCGGUAAUACGGAGGGUGCGAGCGUUAAUCGGAAUUACUGGGCGUAAAGCGCGCGUAGGUGGCUUGAUAAGCCGGUUGUGAAAGCCCCGGGCUCAACCUGGGAACGGCAUCCGGAACUGUCAAGCUAGAGUGCAGGAGAGGAAGGUAGAAUUCCCGGUGUAGCGGGGAAAUGCGUAGAGAUCGGGAGGAAUACCAGUGGCGAAGGCGGCCUUCUGGACUGACACUGACACUGAGGUGCGAAAGCGUGGGUAGCAAACAGGAUUAGAUACCCCGGUAGUC
rnacentral:rRNA from 1 species